rnacentral:hammerhead_ribozyme from 1 species
AUGCAACUGAAGAGUUCUAAAUAGGAUGAAACAAGCGUCAAACUGCAU